GUCUCUGUGGUGUAGUGGUAGAGCACGCGGCCCCGGAUAGGACGAAAUGCGGGUUCGAUUCCGGCUUGAGGCC